rnacentral:rRNA from 1 species
AGUUAAGAUGUUAAGGGCAUACGGUGGAUGCCUUGGCGUCAGGAGGCGAAGAAGGACGUGGAAGGCUGCGAUAAGCCUCGGGGAGCCGUCAAGCAGGCUUUGAUCCGGGGAUUUCCGAAUGGGGCAACCCGGCCAGAGUAAUGUCUGGUCAUCCUUUGACUGAAUACAUAGGUCUUAGGAAGCGAACUCGGGGAAGUGAAACAUCUCAGUACCCGAAGGAAGAGAAAUCAAGAGAGAUUCCGUAAGUAGCGGCGAGCGAACGCGGAAGAGCCUAAACCGUUUGUCUACGGGCAAGCGGGGUUGUAGGGCUCCAAUACGUGAUCCAUGAGUAGAUAGCAGAACGGUCUGGAAAGUCCGGCCAUAGCGAGUGACAGCCUCGUAUGCGAAAUCGAACAGUGGCACAUGGAGUACCUGAGUAGGGCGGGACACGCGAAAUCCCGUUUGAAUCUGGGAGGACCAUCUUCCAAGGCUAAAUACUCCCUGACGACCGAUAGUGUACCAGUACCGUGAGGGAAAGGUGAAAAGAACCCCUGUUAGGGGAGUGCAAUAGAACCUGAAACCGUAUGCCUACAAGCAGUGGGAGCACCUUCGUGGUGUGACCGCGUGCCUUUUGCAUAAUGGGCCAGCGAGUUAAUCUGUAGUGCGAGGUUAAGCCGAUGAGGUGGAGCCGUAGCGAAAGCGAGUCUUAAAUGGGCGUUCAGUACUGCGGAUUAGACCCGAAGCCGGGUGAUCUAUCCAUGAGCAGGUUGAAGCUUGGGUAAAACCAAGUGGAGGACCGAACCGUUGUAAGUUGAAAAUUACUCGGAUGACUUGUGGAUAGGGGUGAAAGGCCAAUCAAACUCGGUGAUAGCUGGUUCUCUCCGAAAUAUAUUGAGGUAUAGCCUCAGGAGUUUACUUGCGGAGGUAGAGCACUGACAGGGCUAGGGGGCUUACCCGCUUACCAAACCCUUUCAAACUCCGAAUGCCGUAAGUUGAGAUCCUGGGAGUCAGACCGCGGGUGAUAAGGUUCGUGGUCGAGAGGGAAAGAGCCCAGACCGACAGCUAAGGCCCCCAAAUCCAUACUAAGUGGGAAAGGAGGUGAAGUCGCUUAGACAGCCAGGAGGUUGGCUUAGAAGCAGCCACCCUUAAAAGAAAGCGUAAUAGCUCACUGGUCUAGCGACUUUGCGCCGAAAAUGUAACGGGGCUAAGUAUGGUGCCGAAGCUUCGGAAUCAGGUUAAUACCUGGUUGGUAGGAGAGCGUUCCCAUCCGGGAUGAAGGUAGAUUGGAAAGUCUGCUGGACUGAUGGGAAGUGAAUAUGCUGGCAUGAGUAACGAAAAAACAGGUGAAAAACCUGUUCGCCGUAAACCCAAGGUUUCCUGGGUAAAGUUAAUCUUCCCAGGGUUAGUCGGCCCCUAAGGCGAGGCUGAAAAGCGUAGUUGAUGGGAAACGGGUUAAUAUUCCCGUACCUGCAUAUGUUCGUUUGAACGAUGGGGGGACGCAGGAAGGUAGGUCAUCCGGGUGUUGGAUAUCCCGGUGCAAGCUGGUAGGGAUGAAACGUAGGCAAAUCCGCGUUUCUUUAUCCCGAGAAGUGAUGCCGUGUCGUAAGACUGAAGUGACUGAGCCUCGACUGCCGAGAAAAGCCUCUAAGUGAGAAUAUGUGCAGACCGUACUGUAAACCGACACAGGUGGGUGGGGUGAGUAACCCAAGGCGUUUGAGAGAACUCUGGUUAAGGAACUCGGCAAAAUUACCCCGUAACUUCGGGAGAAGGGGUGCCACUCUUGGUGAGCGUAUUUACUUCGCAAGCUUCGAGUGGUCGCAGAGAAAUGGCGGUGGCGACUGUUUACUAAAAACAUAGGACUCUGCUAAGUCGUAAGACGACGUAUAGGGUCUGACGCCUGCCCGGUGCUGGAAGGUUAAGAGGAGAUGUCAGCGCAAGCGAAGCAUUGAAUUGAAGCCCCAGUAAACGGCGGCCGUAACUAUAACGGUCCUAAGGUAGCGAAAUUCCUUGUCGGGUAAGUUCCGACCUGCACGAAUGGCGUAACGAUCUCCGCACUGUCUCGACCAGAGACUCAGUGAAAUUGAAUUGGCGGUGAAGAUGCCGUCUCCCCGCAGAAAGACGGAAAGACCCUGUGCACCUUUACUAUAGCUUGACAUUGGAUCUUGAACUAUCAUGUGUAGGAUAGGUGGGAGACUGUGAAGCGGGUACGCUAGUAUCUGUGGAGUCAACCUUGAAAUACCACCCUUGUUAGUUUAGGACUCUAAUCCCUCGCCGUGAUCCGGCAGGGAGACAGUGUCUGGUGGGUAGUUUGACUGGGGCGGUCGCCUCCCAAAGAGUAACGGAGGCGCGCAAAGGUUCCCUCAGGCUGAUUGGAAACCAGCCGUCGAGUGCAAACGCAUAAGGGAGCUUGACUGCGAGACAGACAUGUCGAGCAGGUACGAAAGUAGGUGUUAGUGAUCCGGUGGUCCCGCAUGGAAGGGCCAUCGCUCAUCGGAUAAAAGGUACGCCGGGGAUAACAGGCUGAUCGCAUCCAAGAGUUCACAUCGACGAUGCGGUUUGGCACCUCGAUGUCGGCUCAUCACAUCCUGGGGCUGGAGCAGGUCCCAAGGGUACGGCUGUUCGCCGUUUAAAGUGGUACGCGAGCUGGGUUUAAAACGUCGUGAGACAGUUUGGUCCCUAUCUUCUGUGGGCGUAGGAGAAUUGAGUGGGUCUGUUCCUAGUACGAGAGGACCGGAAUGGACGAUUCCCUAGUGGACCUGUUGUCGCGCCAGCGGCAUAGCAGGGUAGCUAUAAUCGGAAUGGAUAACCGCUGAAAGCAUCUAAGCGGGAAACCAGCCACAAGAUAAGUUCUCCCUUGUCGCAAGACACUGAAGAUCCCAGGCAGACCACCUGGUAGAUAGGCCGGAAGUGUAAGCGCAGUAAUGUGUUCAGCUGACCGGUACUAAUAGAUCGUGAGUCUUAACUCUCUCUCUUC